rnacentral:lncRNA from 1 species
CUCCAUUUUGCAUAUCUAUGUAUGUUUCUAUAUUCAUUUCACUGUUUUUACGCUUUUCUCUCCAUAGAUCUGUAAAAUGUUGAGAAUUUUCGGUUUUAUAUCUUUACCGAAUAUAACGAGUUCAUCGUUUUAAUUUUAAUUUUUUUUUUCACUCUUCUUCGCCGGGAUCUGUGAAAUAUCACCUUUUUUUGGAUUUUAACUUUAAGGAGCUUCAUUUCAUAGUAGUGUUUGUAUAUAUGUUCAUUUUAUGUUUUUUUUUUACAGUUUUCGCUACUUAGAUCUGUGAAAUAUAACCGAUUUCUGAUUUUUUUAACGUUAAUGAGUCUUGUUUCGCAGUAGAUAUAAAGGUGUUAUGGAGAUCUGCUAUUGUUUUUGUCAGAACUGUGGUUUACUUUAACGGAUCUGUUUUUUUGCUGAUCUGAUUUAUGUUUUCAGUGCUAUUUUGAUUGUUCAAUCUGCAGAUCUUGUCAACGAUGUAUAAUUUUGAUCUGUCCAUUAUGCUGUACUACAGUAGAACUUGGUGAAUUUUACUAGUAAUAAUAUUUUUAAGUGUAUGUAAAAUUGCUACUUCUACUAUUAAUAUGAUAUUUAAAUGGUUAUAGUUAAUUAUUGAAGAGUGAGUUAAUGCGCUUAUGUGUAUGUGGGUUUGUUUAAUUUUGUAUUAUGAUGGUCGAAUAUAUGAGUGUAGGAAUUUGUUUGUCAGGGCACUAUAUGAAUACAGUAAGUAUUUCGUGCCACAGAUACUAAGAAUUGUUUUGGAGUUGAUAGUGCUAACAAUUCUUUUUGUAAAACUAAAUUGGCUGUGAAGUUGGAAUUGAUUCUGUACUAGACUACUAGUGAUACACUCUUUGUUUUGUAGUUUUGUUUUCUAGGGUUGGGAAGUUAAGGUUUAUGAUUCUAUUUUAGACUAGAUAAUAUCUCAUAUAGUUCAUACAUUAACCUUUAUAUAGGGUGGUCCACUGUGAUGCUUGAUCUCGGCACUUAGUGCCUCCUUUUUAUUGCAGUUUCUAGAUAGAGUUUUUUGUUUAUUGUUUGAAGCUGUGCUGUUUAUGUCAUUAUGUUUUUGUUAAAGUUGGUGAGUUUUUUGUUUAUUGUUUUGGAGUUGAUAGUGCUAACAAUUCUUUUUGUAAAACUAAAUUGGCUAUGAAGUUGGAAUUGAUUCUGUACUAGACUACUAGUGAUACACUCUUUGUUUUGUGGUUUUGUUUUCUAGGAUUGGGAAGUUAAGGUUUAUGAUUCUAUUUUAGACUAGAUAAUAUCUCAUAUAGUUCAUACAUUAACCUUUAUAUAGGGUGGUCCACUGUGAUGCUUGAUCUCGGCACUUAGUGCCUCCUUUUUAUUGCAGUUUCUAGAUAGAGUUUUUUGUUUAUUGUUUGAAGCUGUGCUGUUUAUGUCAUUAUGUUUUUGUUAAAGUUGGUGAAUUUUGAGCUUUGAAUGCUCAUUUUCUGGCCAAAACUAUUUAGAGAUUUGACUUCAACUAGAUUUGCGAUUUUAGCUUAAAAGUGUAUGCAGGGGCGGAUUUACAUGGUGGCAAGUGGUAUCACAAGACAUCGUUUGGUCAAAAUUUUUUAAUAUUUAUAUAUAUAAAUAAUAAGUACAAUAGAAAUACAAGAUAAAACCAUUAAAAGUGACACCACUUGCAACAAAACAUCUCACUAGUCUAGUGGUUGUUAGCUUCAAGUAUUAUGUGAAAGGUCUUGGGUUCAAACUCCCUUGGCUCCGCGAAAUAUUUUUUGACUGUUACGGCUCUUUUACUAGAAAUAGUGACAUCACUUAUGAAAAAUCCUGCGUACGCUACUGAGUGUAUGGUGUAUGUUAUUGUUGUUUUACAUAGCUUAUUAGUAUGUAUAUAUAAGAAAACUGGCAGUUACAUUUCUAAAGCAGCCAAGGAAUUGCCAUUUUAAGACAACUGGUAAAUGUGAGAAUACCAUGUCUUGUUGAUUUGAUAAAGGUUCAUGUUUGGGUUGGUAUAUGUUGUGACUUGUUUAUAUUAUGUUAAACAUGAAGUUGAAUUAUGAGAAUAAGAUGUUUUCUUUUAGUUGUUAUGAAAGCAAUUUUGUGUAUUUUGCUGAAUUUGUGGAUGGCAUUUGUCCGUGGGAGCUUAAAUGUAGAGAUCUGAAUCCAAUGUUCUAACUGUGCAGGAC